GCAGCUCAGCUCACAGUUCCGGAAGAGACUACUUCCUUCUGCAUGAGGAGAGGAGAUGGGAGAGUGAAGAAAACUUUGUUUCGCCGCUUGGAUGCCAGCAGAGGAGAACAGGGUACCAGAACAGCACCUGAGCUGCAACUGGGCCCACUUGAGCUAUGGCUAGAGCUGCCAGAGUGAGUGCUCCAGCAGAAUGCAGGAAGCACAGACCUGAGACAGCCAUGGCAGCCAGCCUCAAGGUCCAGCAGGAAGCACAGACAGGAGACAGCCAUGGCAGCCAGCCUCAAGGUCCAGCAGGAAGCACAGACAGGAGACAGCCAUGGCAGCCAGCCUCAAGGUCCAGCAGGAAGCACAGACAGGAGACAGCCAUGGCAGCCAGCCUCAAGGUCCAGCAGGAAGCACAGACAGGAGACAGCCAUGGCAGCCAGCCUCAAGCUCUCUUUCACCGCUGGAAUUUCCACACUCACUGAUUCCAAGCUCAGCAUCCUCUGCUGCGUUAUCUGACAAGUGUGUAAUACGACUCUAUGCCAUGCACCUGGGGUAUUCCUAAGCUGAGGUUUGGCCUCUGUUGAUGUUCUUGAUGUUUCUGUUACUCACUUCCAUAAAGUCUAGGCAAAGGCACACAUUUGUCAUUUUAUGCAUAUUUAUGCAGUUAUCACAUGUCAAUUUAUCAUAUGUCAAUUUAUGCACUUUAUGCAUAAAUUUAUUCAUAAAUGAAAAAGAGUUGCACACAAAGCCACACUUUUUCAUUUAUGAAUAAUUUUAUGCAUAAAGUGAGGUUUGAUUUAGCAAUUCAUCAUAAGAGGUGAGAACCAGUAGGCAGCCAGCUGAAGAACAGAGGAAGUAUGAAGAGCAGUCAGCGACACUGGGGAGGACUCCAAGAAGUUCAGCUCGGCUAAAACAUAGAUUAUAUCUUACAGAGCCAUAUUGAAUUCUUAGAUUCUUAUCAGAAGGUAUCAUAGGUUAACAUAAUAAAUAUUAAUACUAUUCAGAUAUUUCAUUGCUCCUUUUACUAACAUAGGACAAUGCACUUGAACAAGUAGAACUGAUUCUGUGGGAAUAAAAAGAGCAAAGGGGCCAAGCACAGUGGCUCACGCCUAUAAUCCCCGCACUUUGGGAGGUAGAGGUGGGCGGAUCACCUGCGGUCAGGAGUUUGAGACCAGCCUGACCAACACAGCAUAACCCCGUCUCUACUAAAAAUAGAAAAAUUAGCCAGGCGUGGUGGUGCACGCCUGUAAUCCCAGCUACAAGGGAGGCUGAGGCAGGAGAAUUAGUUGAAUCUCGGAGAUGGAGGUUGCAGUGAGUCAAGAUCGCACUGCUGCACUCCAGCCUGGGCAAAAGAGCAAGGCUCUGUCUCAGGGAAAAAAGAAAAAACAGCAAAGGAGAAGGAGUCAUAGGAACUUUUUUAAAAAACAAGAAACAGCUGCUGUUAAUUAGCUGUGCGUGCUUGGAUGUGGCCCCUAACAUCUCUAGGGCUUACUUGCUCCAACUGUCGCAGACGAGAGUAAAAUUCUCUAUUCCUUAGAAUCACUUCAUGAUGCAUUUAUUUACGUACAAAUGGUAGUUGAAAGAUGACUAUUUCUC
ensembl:lncRNA